CGGGGUGAGUAAUGUCUGGGAAACUGCCUGAUGGAGGGGGAUAACUACUGGAAACGGUAGCUAAUACCGCAUAACGUCGCAAGACCAAAGAGGGGGACCUUCGGGCCUCUUGCCAUCGGAUGUGCCCAGAUGGGAUUAGCUAGUAGGUGGGGUAAUGGCUCACCUAGGCGACGAUCCCCAGCUGGUCUGAGAGGAUGACCAGCCACACUGGAACUGAGACACGGUCCAG
rnacentral:rRNA from 1 species